AUUGAACGCUGGCGGCAGGCCUAACACAUGCAAGUCGAGCGGUAACACAGAGAGCUUGCUCUCAAGAAGUUAGCGGCGGACGGGUGAGUAACACGUGGGUAACCUGCCCAUAAGACUGGGAUAACUCCGGGAAACCGGGGCUAAUACCGGAUAACAUUUUGAACUGCAUGGUUCGAAAUUGAAAGGCGGCUUCGGCUGUCACUUAUGGAUGGACCCGCGUCGCAUUAGCUAGUUGGUGAGGUAACGGCUCACCAAGGCAACGAUGCGUAGCCGACCUGAGAGGGUGAUCGGCCACACUGGGACUGAGACACGGCCCAGACUCCUACGGGAGGCAGCAGUAGGGAAUCUUCCGCAAUGGACGAAAGUCUGACGGAGCAACGCCGCGUGAGUGAUGAAGGCUUUCGGGUCGUAAAACUCUGUUGUUAGGGAAGAACAAGUGCUAGUUGAAUAAGCUGGCACCUUGACGGUACCUAACCAGAAAGCCACGGCUAACUACGUGCCAGCCGCCGCAGUAAAAC
rnacentral:rRNA from 1 species